rnacentral:rRNA from 1 species
ACGUAGGUGGCAAGCGUUGUCCGGAUUUACUGGGCGUAAAGGAUGCGUAGGUGGAUAUUUAAGUCAGAUGUGAAAUACCCGAGCUUAACUUGGGUGCUGCAUUUGAAACUGGAUAUCUAGAGUGCAGGAGAGGUAAGUGGAAUUCCUAGUGUAGCGGUGAAAUGCGUAGAUAUUAGGAAGAACCCCAGUGGCGAAGGCGACUUACUGGACUGUAACUGACGCUGAGGCAUGAAAGCGUGGGUAGCGAACAG